rnacentral:rRNA from 1 species
GGGUUGUGAGGUUAAGCGACUAAGCGUACACGGUGGAUGCCAGGCAGUCAGAGGCGAUGAAGGACGUGCUAAUCUGCGAUAAGCGUCGGUGAGGUGAUAUGAACCGUUAUAACCGGCGAUUUCCGAAUGGGGAAACCCAGUGUGAUUCGUCACACUAUCAUUAACUGAAUCCAUAGGUUAAUGAGGCGAACCGGGGGAACUGAAACAUCUAAGUACCCCGAGGAAAAGAAAUCAACCGAGAUUCCCCCAGUAGCGGCGAGCGAACGGGGGGGAGCCCAGAGCCCUGAAUCCGGUGUGUGUGUUAGUGGAAGCGUCUGGAAAGGCGUGCGAUACAGGGUGACAGCCCCGUACACAAAAAUGCACAUAUUGUGAGCUCGAUGAGUAGGGCGGGACACGUGGUAUCCUGUCUGAAUAUGGGGGGACCAUCCUCCAAGGCUAAAUACUCCUGACUGACCGAUAGUGAAUCAGUACCGUGGGGAAAGGCGAAAAAGAACCCCGGCGAGGGGAGUGAAAAAAGAACCUGAAACCGUGUACGUACAAGCGGUGGGAAGCCUCUUAAUGGGGUGACUGCGUACCUUUGUAUAAUGGGUCAGCGACUUAUAUUCUGUAGCAAGGUUAACCGAAUAGGGGAGCCGAAGGGAAACCGAGUCUUAACUGGGCGUUAAGUUGCAGGGUAUAGACCCGAAACCCGGUGAUCUAGCCAUGGGCAGGUUGAAGGUUGGGUAACACUAACUGGAGGACCGAACCGACUAAUGUUGAAAAAUUAGCGGAUGACUUGUGGCUGGGGGUGAAAGGCCAAUCAAACCGGGAGAUAGCUGGUUCUCCCCGAAAGCUAUUUAGGUAGCGCCUCGUGAAUUCAUCUCCGGGGUAGAGCACUGUUUCGGCAAGGGGUCAUCCUGACUUACCAACCCGAUGCAAACUGCGAAUACCGGAGAAUGUUAUCACGGGAGACACACGGCGGGUGCUAACGUCCGUCGUGAAGAGGGAAACAACCCAGACCGCCAGCUAAGGUCCCAAAGUCAUGGUUAAGUGGAAACGAUGUGGGAAGGCCCAGACAGCCAGGAUGUUGGCUUAGAAGCAGCCAUCAUUUAAAGAAAGCGUAAUAGCUCACUGGUCGAGUCGGCCUGCGCGGAAGAUGUAACGGGGCUAAACCAUGCACCGAAGCUGCGGCAGCGACACUAUGUGUUGUUGGGUAGGGGAGCGUUCUGUAAGCCUGUGAAGGUGGCCUGUGAGGGUUGCUGGAGGUAUCAGAAGUGCGAAUGCUGACAUAAGUAACGAUAAAGCGGGUGAAAAGCCCGCUCGCCGGAAGACCAAGGGUUCCUGUCCAACGUUAAUCGGGGCAGGGUGAGUCGACCCCAAGGCGAGGCCGAAAGGCGUAGUCGAUGGGAAACAGGUUAAUAUUCCUGUACUUUGCGUUACUGCGAAGGGGGGACGGAGAAGGCUAUGUUGGCCGGGCGACGGUUGUCCCGGUUUAAGCGUGUAGGCUGGUUUUCCAGGCAAAUCCGGAAAAUCAAGGCUGAGGCGUGAUGACGAGGCACUACGGUGCUGAAGCGACAAAUGCCCUGCUUCCAGGAAAAGCCUCUAAGCAUCAGGUAACAUCAAAUCGUACCCCAAACCGACACAGGUGGUCAGGUAGAGAAUACCAAGGCGCUUGAGAGAACUCGGGUGAAGGAACUAGGCAAAAUGGUGCCGUAACUUCGGGAGAAGGCACGCUGAUAUGUAGGUGAAGCGACUUGCUCGUGGAGCUGAAAUCAGUCGAAGAUACCAGCUGGCUGCAACUGUUUAUUAAAAAAAACAGCACUGUGCAAACACGAAAGUGGACGUAUACGGUGUGACGCCUGCCCGGUGCCGGAAGGUUAAUGAUGGGGUUAGCGGUAACGCGAAGCCUUGAUCGAAGCCCCGGUAAAACGGCGGCCGUAACUAUAACGGUCCUAAGGUAGCGAAAUUCCUUGUCGGGUAAGUUCCGACCUGCACGAAUGGCGUAAUGAUGGCGGUGCUGUCUCCACCCGAGACUCAGUGAAAUUGAACUCGCUGUGAAGAUGCAGUGUACCCGCGGCAAGACGGAAAGACCCCGUGAACCUUUACUAUAGCUUGACACUGAACAUUGAGCCUUGAUGUGUAGGAUAGGUGGGAGGCUUUGAAGUGUGGACGCAGUCUGCAUGGAGCCGACCUUGAAAUACCACCCUUUAAUGUUUGAUGUUCUAACGUGGGCCCCCCGAUGGGGUUGCGGACAGUGUCUGGUGGGUAGUUUGACUGGGGCGGUCUCCUCCUAAAGAGUAACGGAGGAGCACGAAGGUUGGCUAAUCCUGGUCGGACAUCAGGAGGUUAGUGCAAUGGCAUAAGCCAGCUUGACUGCGAGCGUGACGGCGCGAGCAGGUGCGAAAGCAGGUCAUAGUGAUCCGGUGGUUCUGAAUGGAAGGGCCAUCGCUCAACGGAUAAAAGGUACUCCGGGGAUAACAGGCUGAUACCGCCCAAGAGUUCAUAUCGACGGCGGUGUUUGGCACCUCGAUGUCGGCUCAUCACAUCCUCGGGCUGAAGUAGGUCCCAAGGGGUAUGGCUGUUCGCCAUUUAAAGUGGUACGCGAGCUGGGUUUAGAACGUCGUGAGACAGUUCGGUCCCCAUUCGCCGUGGGCGCUGGAGAACUGAGGGGCUGCUCCUAGUACGAGGACCGGAGUGGACGCAUCACUGGUGUUCGGGUUGUCAUGCCAAUGGCACUGCCCGGUAGCUAAAUGCGGAAGAGAUAAGUGCUGAAAAGCAUCUAAGCACGAAACUUGCCCCGAGAUGAGUUCUCCUGACUCCUUGAGAGUCCUGAAGGAACGUUGAAGACGACGACGUUGAUAGGCCGGGUGUGUAAGCGCAGCGAUGCGUUGAGCUAACCGGUACUAAUGAACCGUGAGGCUUAACCUUACAACGCCGAAG